rnacentral:rRNA from 1 species
ACGCUCGACACCUACGNGGAGGCAGCAGGUGGGGAAUAUUGGGCAAUGGGCGCAAGCCUGACCCAGCAACGCCGCGUGAAGGAAGAAGGCCCUCGGGUUGUAAACUUCUUUUAACAGGGACGAAGCAAGUGACGGUACCUGUUGAAUAAGCCACGGCUAACUACGUGCCAGCAGCCGCGGUAAUCUGAGCGGGCUGGCAAGGC